CCUACGGGGGGCUGCAGUGGGGAAUAUUGGACAAUGGGGGGAACCCUGAUCCAGCCAUGCCGCGUGUGUGAAGAAGGCCCUCGGGUUGUAAAGCACUUUCAGUGAGGAAGAACGCCUGGUGGUUAAUACCCAUCAGGAAAGACAUCACUCACAGAAGAAGCACCGGCUAACUCCGUGCCAGCAGCCGCGGUAAUACGGAGGGUGCGAGCGUUAAUCGGAAUUACUGGGCGUAAAGCGCGCGUAGGUGGCUUGAUAAGCCGGUUGUGAAAGCCCCGGGCUCAACCUGGGAACGGCAUCCGGAACUGUCAAGCUAGAGUGCAGGAGAGGAAGGUAGAAUUCCCGGUGUAGCGGUGAAAUGCGUAGAGAUCGGGAGGAAUACCAGUGGCGAAGGCGGCCUUCUGGGCUGACACUGACACUGAGGUGCGAAAGCGUGGGUAGCAAACAGGAUUAGAUACCCGUGUAGUC
rnacentral:rRNA from 1 species